CUGUUUCCCUCUUCCUUCCUAGCAAUCUUUCCUGGUAGCAAUCUCCUGGCGUCAGCCCAUCUUACAAAAGGUGUGAAAGGUUCAAGAGUCCUUUGGCAGCUUUGUAGCAGAAACUGCAAUGGACAUUUGGUAAACAGUGUUACUCUCUGCAUCA